AAAUUGAAGAGUUUGAUCAUGGCUCAGAUUGAACGCUGGCGGCAGGCCUAACACAUGCAAGUCGAACGGUAGCACAGAGAGCUUGCUCUCGGGUGACGAGUGGCGGACGGGUGAGUAAUGUCUGGGAAACUGCCCGAUGGAGGGGGAUAACUACUGGAAACGGUAGCUAAUACCGCAUAACGUCGCAAGACCAAAGUGGGGGACCUUCGGGCCUCACACCAUCGGAUGUGCCCAGAUGGGAUUAGCUAGUAGGUGGGGUAACGGCUCACCUAGGCGACGAUCCCUAGCUGGUCUGAGAGGAUGACCAGCCACACUGGAACUGAGACACGGUCCAGACUCCUACGGGAGGCAGCAGUGGGGAAUAUUGCACAAUGGGCGCAAGCCUGAUGCAGCCAUGCCGCGUGUAUGAAGAAGGCCUUCGGGUUGUAAAGUACUUUCAGCGAGGAGGAAGGCGUUGUGGUUAAUAACCACAGCGAUUGACGUUACUCGCAGAAGAAGCACCGGCUAACUCCGUGCCAGCAGCCGCGGUAAUACGGAGGGUGCAAGCGUUAAUCGGAAUUACUGGGCGUAAAGCGCACGCAGGCGGUUUGUUAAGUCAGAUGUGAAAUCCCCGGGCUCAACCUGGGAACUGCAUUUGAAACUGGCAAGCUUGAGUCUCGUAGAGGGGGGUAGAAU
rnacentral:rRNA from 1 species